AUCACCUGGGGAUCUUGUUAAAAUGCAGAUUCUGAAUUAGUGGGUGUAUGUGGGGCUUAAGAUUCCGUUUCUUUAGCAAGCUCCCAGGUGAUGACAA
rnacentral:pre_miRNA from 1 species